rnacentral:lncRNA from 1 species
UCAUCUUUCUAUUCUAUAAAUUUUCGUGUUUUGUGAAAUUACACGAGAAGGAAAUUUUGUCUAGGAGAUUAGGUUUUAAGCGGGACCAUCUGUGACGUCUUUAAUCUUUCCUGAGAAUUGAACUUAGUAUGGUUGUACAAGCCCAAUUUUGGGCCCAAAACCCCUAAACCCACUAAGCCUAAAACCUAACAAAACCUAUCCAAACCCCAAACGAGCCCAAUAUCCACUAAAACUACAAGCCCAAAUACAACUUAAAAUCAGAAAGAAAACCCUAGCCUUUUGACACCUCUGCACCGCAGCCUGGCCACCGCCAAGGGUCAUGUCCACCGCCACUGUCCCCUCACUGCCCGUUUACCUGCAAGAAGAACAGAGUAAUUAAUUGAGAAGCAAGUUGUAGAGAAAUAGGGCUAUAAAGAGCCAAACAAUAACCAUUGUACAUGGGGAUUUUUUUGGUGAAAAAUAAAAAGCAAUUUUUGAUUUUAAACAAUAGCAAGAACAGAGACCACAGUAAUAUCAAAAGGCAAAAAAACAGUCCAAGCAAAGAAUCGAAACCUAAUAAUCCAAGGUGAUUUCAUUCGAUUACCAUCAUUAUUUUCUUUCUUUUUUAACCUAUUUAUUCACAUACAUAUAUAUAUCAUAAACAUAAAAAAAAUAUAAAAAUAAAUAAAAAAUUUACCUUUUUCGAAAUUCCGGACGGUGCCGACGUGGCGGCCGGUGGCUGGUCCGGCAGUGGAGACCCAGGGCUGAGAGAGAAUUGAGAACUUUUUUUUUUGUUUUUUUUAAAGAAGAAAACUGAUUUUUUUUUAAAAAGAUUUUGGGCUUAUAUAGGGGCACAAUACGGCGCCGUUUUGAGACUUAACUCAUGGCGCCAAAACGACGCCGUUUCAAGUGACCCGCGCGCAACCCGACCCGACGCCUGAGGAUCCGCGUGUUUUUAUAUAAUGGGCUAAUUUUUCGCGCGGUCCUUCCGCUUUUUAUACAUUUUGCAAUCAAGUUUUCAUUUCUUUUAAAUUAGCGCUGAAGUUUAUCGCACUUUUUGAUUUAGUCCUCCCUUCAGCGACGCCGUUUUAAGGACUCGGGGAAGUUUCCCUUUUGGCCCUCCGAGGUUGCGCGCAUAUUCAAAUGGGUCCUCUCUUUAUAUUUCCUUUCAAAUUGGCCCCAAAACUUUGUUUUUGUUUCAAAUUUGGUCCCUUUUUUAGAUUUAAUUUGAUUUCUAUAUUAUUUCUACCUUAUUUUUACUUAUAACAUUAUUUAUUAUUAUAUUUACUAUUAUUAUUAUUACUAUUACUAUUAUAUUUAGUAACAUAUUAUCAUUAUUUUUUAUUGUACCAUUAUUAUUCCG